AAAUUUUAAUGUAGGCUUAAAUGUUAAUCUGCAGAGGUACAGCUCUGCAGAAUAAGACUACAACCUUAAUUAGAGAGUAAUAUUAGUUAACAACCAUAGUUGGCCUAAAAGCAGCCACCAAUUAAGAAAGCGUUCAAGCUCAACAACUAAACUUGCACUUAAUCUCAAAAAUUAAUAGAAACUCCUAAUCUAACUACUGGAUUAUUCUACUAAAUGUAGAAGAAACACUGUUAAUAUGAGUAACAAGAUUUUAUAUCUCCAAACACACAUGUAUAUCAGCCCAAAUCCUAACUGAUAAUUAACAAUAAGAUAAAUCUGAUCAUAUAAUUAAUAAUUUUCCACUAUAUUGUUAAUCCGACGCUGGAGUGUACUGUAAGGAAAGAUUAAAAGGAGUAAAAGGAACUCGGCAAACACAAACCCCGCCUGUUUACCAAAAACAUCACCUCUAGCAUUAUCAGUAUUAGAGGCACUGCCUGCCCAGUGACAUUAGUUAAACGGCCGCGGUAUCCUGACCGUGCAAAGGUAGCAUAAUCAUUUGUUCCUUAAUUAGGGACUUGUAUGAAUGGCCCCACGAGGGUUUAACUGUCUCUUACUUUCAAUCAGUGAAAUUGACCUUCCCGUGAAGAGGCGGGAAUAUAAAAAUAAGACGAGAAGACCCUAUGGAGCUUAAAUUAAUAUGCUCAACAAAAUUUAAAUUCAACCCAACAGGAAUAAUUAUAAUUUAACUGAGCAAUAAAUUUUGGUUGGGGUGACCUCGGAGUAUAACAGAACCUCCGAGUGAUUUAAACCAAGACUUACCCGUCAAGGUUACGUAACUUAUUGAUCCAAUCAUAUUGAUCAACGAAACAAGUUACCCUAGGGAUAACAGCGCAAUCCUAUUUGAGAGUUCAUAUCGACAAUAGGGUUUACGACCUCGAUGUUGGAUCAGGACACCCAAAUGGUGCAGCAGCUAUUAAAGGUUCGUUU
rnacentral:rRNA from 1 species